UUUGACCUUUGCUCCGGGGGUUCGGGGGAUGUCUCCGGGAUGUUGUUCUAGGGUUUUGGGGGUUCCGAGAGUGUGGAUUAGGUACCGGGAAGGUAGUCUUGGAUUGGUUAAUGACAAGGAAUAUUAUAUUUGUGUUUGAUUAGGACUUUGGAGAAGCUCGGGAUAGAGGACCGUGCUUGUGGCUACGUGAUAUCGGAAACCAGCGAAUUGAAAGGUAAGGGUAAGGGCAAGCUGGACCAGGCCUGAGGUGGAGAGCUCCGAGGUGAAAUGUACAUAGCCAGCCGUUCGAUCACCACGGUCGAGGAGUGUGUCAGGACGGAGAUUACCUAACCACUCAUUUUGCCUUAGUAUGGCUGUUGAUGUAUAUAGACUUUGUAACUUUUGUAAAUGACUUUUAAACUGUCAUUUUUGGGAUCCCUUGUACAUAAACAAUGUUUAGUAAUGAAAAUGUAUCUUUU